UUAGCUUGCUAGAGAAAGUCAAGUGGCGCACGGGUGAGUAACGCGUGGGUAAUCUGCCUCCGAAUCGGGGAUAACAUUGCGAAAGCGAUGCUAAUACCGGAUAAAAUCUGGUUGGCUUAGGUGAACCGGAUCAAAGGUGGUCUCUUUAUAAAAGCUACCGUUUGGAGAUGAGCUCGCGUACCAUUAGCUAGUUGGUGAGGUAAAGGCUCACCAAGGCGACGAUGGUUAGCUGGUCUGAGAGGAUGAUCAGCCACACCGGAACUGGAACACGGUCCGGACUCCUACGGGAGGCAGCAGUGAGGAAUUUUGCGCAAUGGGGGAAACCCUGACGCAGCAACGCCGCGUGAGUGAUGAAGGCUUUCGGGUCGUAAAGCUCUGUCAGGUGGGAAGAACCCACCAAGUGUUAAGACCACUUGGUGCUGACGGUACCACCGAAGGAAGCACCGGCUAACUCCGUGACAGCAGCCGCGGUAAUACGGGGGGUGCGAGCGUUAUUCGGAAUCAUUGGGCGUAAAGGGCGCGCAGGCGGUUU
rnacentral:rRNA from 1 species